ACGAUCGACACCUACGGGGGCAGCAGUGGGGAAUAUUGCACAAUGGGGGAAACCCUGAUGCAGCGACGCCGCGUGAGUGAAGAAGUAAUUCGUUAUGUAAAGCUCUAUCAGCAGGGAAGAAAGUGACGGUACCUGAGUAAGAAGCCCCGGCUAACUACGUGCUAGCAGCCGCGGUAAUCUGAGCGGGCUGGCAAGGC
rnacentral:rRNA from 1 species